UACGUAGGGGGCAAGCGUUGUCCGGAUUCAUUGGGCGUAAAGAGCUCGUAGGCGGUUCGGCAAGUCGGGUGUGAAAACUCCAGGCUCAACCUGGAGACGCCACCCGAUACUGCUGUGACUUGAGUCCGGUAGGGGACCACGGAAUUCCUGGUGUAGCGGUGAAAUGCGCAGAUAUCAGGAGGAACACCGGUGGCGAAGGCGGUGGUCUGGGCCGGCACUGACGCUGAGGCGCGAAAGCUAGGGGAGCAAACAGG
rnacentral:rRNA from 1 species